CUUGGUCAUUUAGAGGAAGUAAAAGUCGUAACAAGGUUUCCGUAGGUGAACCUGCGGAAGGAUCAUUAUAGUAUAUGGAAUCUCCAUUCUAUAAACCCACUCUGCGUAUCUUGUAACUGUUGCUUCCAUGGGACUUGGUUCCGCCACACCGGCUUCACGGCUGGUGAGCGCCCAUGGAAGGAGAAACAAAACUCUUCUUUGAAAUGUAGUCAGUCUGAACAAGUUUUUAUAAACGUUAAAACUAUCAACAACGGAUCUCUUGGUUCUCGCAUCGAUGAAGAACGCAGCGAAAUGCGAUAAGUAGUGUGAAUUGCAGAAUUCAGUGAAUCAUCGAAUCUUUGAACGCACAUUGCGCCUUCUGGUAUUCCGGGAGGCAUGCCUGUUCGAGCGUCAUCAAAAACCUCAAUCUCUGAUUUAUCAUUGGUUGGUCUUGCGUUGGAGGCGUCAGCUUCCUCUGCGAAAUACAAUGGCGAUGAGCCACGCAACCAAAGCGUAGUAAUUUAUUCUCGUGAUGGAAACGUGAGCGCAUCCGCCGCAACCCCCCCAUUCUAAGUUUUUGACCUCGGAUCAGGUAGGGAUACCCGCUGAACUUAAGCAUAUCAAUAAGCGGAGGA
rnacentral:rRNA from 1 species